CCCGCUGAACUUAAGCAUAUCAAUAAGCGGAGGAAAAGAAACUAACAAGGAUUCCCCUAGUAACUGCGAGUGAAGCGGGAAAAGCUCAAAUUUAAAAUCUGGUGGUCUUUGGCCAUCCGAGUUGUAAUUUAGAGAAGCGUCUUCCGCGCUGGACCAUGCACAAGUCUCCUGGAAUGGAGCGUCAUAGAGGGUGAGAAUCCCGUCUUUGGCAUGGACACACCAGGGCUUCUGUGAUGCGCUCUCGAAGAGUCGAGUUGUUUGGGAAUGCAGCUCAAAAUGGGUGGUGAACUCCAUCUAAAGCUAAAUAUUGGCGAGAGACCGAUAGCGAACAAGUACCGUGAGGGAAAGAUGAAAAGCACUUUGGAAAGAGAGUGAAACAGUACGUGAAGUUGUUGAAAGGGAAACGCUUGAAGUCAGUCGCGUCGGCCGAGACUCAGCCUUGCCUCGGCUUGGUGUAUUUCUUGGCCCGACGGGUCAGCAUCAAUUUUGCCCCUUGGAUAAUGGCUAGGGAAAUGUGACACCUUUAUAGGUGUGUUAUAGCCUCUCGUCGCAUGCAAGGGUCAGGAUUGAGGAACUCAGCAUGCACCUUCGGGUGUCGGGGCUUUUGUCCACGAUACAUGCUUAGGAUGUUGGCGUAAUGGCUUUAAACGACCCGUCUUGAAACACGG
rnacentral:rRNA from 1 species